rnacentral:rRNA from 1 species
UACGAAGGGGGCUAGCGUUGCUCGGAAUGACUGGGCGUAAAGGGCGCGUAGGCGGCAAUUCAAGUCAUCUGUGAAAUCUCCGGGCUUAACCCGGAACGGUCAGAUGAUACUGCUUUGCUAGAGUGCGGAAGGGGCAAUCGGAAUUCUUGGUGUAGCGGUGAAAUGCGUAGAUAUCAAGAGGAACACCUGAGGUGAAGACGGGUUGCUGGGCCGACACUGACGCUGACAGCGCGAAAGCCAGGGGAGCAAACGGG